rnacentral:rRNA from 1 species
AGACGAACCGGCCAAACGUUAUUCGGAAUUAUUGGGCUUAAAGGGUGCGUAGGCGGCGCGGUCAGUUGGGUGUGAAAUCCCUCGGCUCAACCGAGGAACUGCGCCCAAUACUGCCGUGCUCGAGGGAGACAGAGGCGAGCGGAACUGAUGGUGGAGCGGUGAAAUGCGUUGAUAUCAUCAGGAACACCAGUGGCGAAAGCGGCUCGCUGGGUCUCUGCUGACGCUGAGGCACGAAAGCUAGGGUAGCGAACAGGAGUAGAAACCCCGGUAGUCC